CCCUUAGAUGUUCUGGGCCGCACGCGCGCUACACUGAUGCAUUCAACGAGCCUAUCCUUGACCGACAGGUCCGGGUAAUCUUUGAAUCUGCAUCGUGACGGGGAUAGAUUAUUGCAAUUAUUAAUCUUCAACGAGGAAUGCCUAGUAGGCGCAAGUCAUCAGCUUGCGUCGAUUACGUCCCUACCCUUUGUACACACCGCCCGUCGCUACUACCGAUUGAAUGGUUUAGUGAGACCCUCGGAUUCGUCCCAGCAGGGUGGUUUACCACUUGGCUGGUGUGCGGAGAAGACGGUCGAACUUGAUCAUUUAGAGGAAGUAAAAGUCGUAACA
rnacentral:rRNA from 1 species